rnacentral:rRNA from 1 species
UACGAAGGGGCUAGCGUUGCUCGGAAUUACUGGGCGUAAAGGGCGCGUAGGCGGACAGUUAAGUCAGAGGUGAAAGCCCAGGGCUCAACCCUGGAAUAGCCUUUGAUACUGGCUGUCUUGAGUGCGGGAGAGGUGUGUGGAACUCCGAGUGUAGAGGUGAAAUUCGUAGAUAUUCGGAAGAACACCAGUGGCGAAGGCGACACACUGGCCGUAACUGACGCCUGAGGCGCGAAAGCGUGGGGAGCGAACAGG